rnacentral:sRNA from 2 species
UUCGAUUCGAGCGAAAGCGAGAAAGCGUUGCCGCAGGCAACGACCCGAAGGGCGAAGCGCGCAGCGCUGAGUAAUCCUUCCCCCACCACCA